rnacentral:rRNA from 1 species
GCGACCCCGUGAGGGUGAGCAAAUCUCAAAAAAUAACGUCUCAGUUCGGAUUGUAGUCUGCAACUCGACUACAUGAAGCUGGAAUCGCUAGUAAUCGCGAAUCAGAAUGUCGCGGUGAAUACGUUCCCGGGUCUUGUACACACCGCCCGUCACACCAUGGGAGUCGGAUAUGCCCGAAGUCAGUGACCCAACCAUAUGGAGGGAGCUGCCGAAGGUGGAGCCGAUAACUGGGGUGAAGUCGUAACAAGGUAAC